rnacentral:rRNA from 1 species
AUUGAACGCUGGCGGCAGGCCUAACACAUGCAAGUCGAACGGUAACAGGAAGACGCUUGCUUCUUUGCUGACGAGUGGCGGACGGGUGAGUAAUGUCUGGGAAACUGCCUGAUGGAGGGGGAUAACUACUGGAAACGGUAGCUAAUACCGCAUAACGUCGCAAGACCAAAGAGGGGGACCUUCGGGCCUCUUGCCAUCGGAUGUGCCCAGAUGGGAUUAGCUUGUUGGUGGGGUAACGGCUCACCAAGGCGACGAUCCCUAGCUGGUCUGAGAGGAUGACCAGCCACACUGGAACUGAGACACGGUCCAGACUCCUACGGGAGGCAGCAGUGGGGAAUAUUGCACAAAGGGCGCAAGCCUGAUGCAGCCAUGCCGCGUGUAUGAAGAAGGCCUUCGGGUUGUAAAGUACUUUCAGCGGGGAGGAAGGGAGUAAAGUUAAUACCUUUGCUCAUUGACGUUACCCGCAGAAGAAGCACCGGCUAACUCCGUG